CAGUCGCCGCGGUAAUACGUAGGUGGCAAGCGUUGUCCGGAAUUACUGGGCGUAAAGCGUGCGCAGGCGGUUGUGUAAGACAGGUGUGAAAUCCCCGGGCUUAACCUGGGAACUGCGCUUGUGACUGCACAGCUAGAGUAUGGCAGAGGGGGGUGGAAUUCCACGUGUAGCAGUGAAAUGCGUAGAGAUGUGGAGGAACACCGAUGGCGAAGGCAGCCCCCUGGGCCAAUACUGACGCUCAUGCACGAAAGCGUGGGGAGCAAACAGGAUUAGAUACCCCCGUAGUCCCUGUCUCUUAUAC
rnacentral:rRNA from 1 species